rnacentral:rRNA from 1 species
CUGGAAUGUCCUUUUGAUCUAAAUGCUCUUUCUACGCCUGUGGAUGAGUCUGCGUCCGAUUAGGCUGUUGUUGGGGUAACGGCCCAACAAACCUACGAUCGGUACGGGUCGUGAGAGCGAUUGCCCGGAGAUGGGUACUGAGACAAGGACCCAGGCCCUACGGGGCGCAGCAGGCGCGAGACCUCUGCAAUGCGCGAAAGCGCGACAGGGCCACCCCGAGUGCUAGACGCUGAGUCUAGCUUUUCCUUAGUGUAGUAAGCUAGGGGAAUAAGCGGGGGGCAAGCCUGGUGUCAGCCGCCGCGGUAAUACCAGCUCCGCGAGUGGUCGGGACGAUUAUUGGGCCUAAAGCGUCCGUAGCCGGCCUAGCAAGCCUCUGGUUAAACUUCAAGGCUUAACCUUGAGAUUGCUGGAGAUACUGCUAGGCUAGGGGGCGGGAGAGGUUGGGGGUACUUCACGGGUAGGGGCGAAAUCCUAUAAUCCGUGAAGGACCACUAGUGGCGAAGGCGCUCAACUGGAACGCGCCCGACGGUGAGGGACGAAAGCCAGGGGAGCAAAGGGGAUUAGAUACCCCCGUAGUCCUGGCUGUAAACGAUGCGGGCUAGGUGUUGGGUUGGCUUCGUGCCAACCCGGUGCCGCAGUGAAGGCGAUAAGCCCGCCGCCUGGGAAGUACGGCUGCAAGGCUGAAACUUAAAGGAAUUGGCGGGGGAGCACCACAAGGGGUGAAGCCUGCGGCUUAAUUGGAUUCAACGCCGGGA